UCUGUGACUCCUACGGGAGGCAGCAGUGGGAAUAUUGCACAAUGGGCGCAAGCCUGAUGCAGCCAUGCCGCGUGUAUGAAGAAGGCCUUCGGGUUGUAAAGUACUUUCAGCAGUGAGGAAGGUGGUGCAGUUAAUAGCUGUAUCAUUUGACGUUAGCUGCAGAAGAAGCACCGGCUAACUCCGUGCCAGCAGCCGCGGUAAUACGGAGGGUGCGAGCGUUAAUCGGAAUUACUGGGCGUAAAGCGCAUGCAGGUGGUUUGUUAAGUCAGAUGUGAAAGCCCCGGGGCUCAACCUCGGAAUUGCAUUUGAAACUGGCAGACUAGAGUACUGUAGAGGGGGUAGAAUUUCAGGUGUAGCGGUGAAAUGCGUAGAGAUCUGAAGGAAUACCGGUGGCGAAGGCGGCCCCCUGGACAGAUACUGACACUCAGAUGCGAAAGCGUGGGGAGCAAACAGGAUUAGAUACCCUGGUAG
rnacentral:rRNA from 1 species